CCUACGGGUGGCAGCAGUGGGGGAUAUUGCACAAUGGGGGAAACCCUGAUGCAGCGACGCCGCGUGUGGGAAGACGGUCUUCUGGAUUGUAAACCACUGUCCCCAGGGACGAAAAUGCCGUUACCUGGGGCUGCAGCUCCGGCUCACUACGUGCCAGCAGCCGCGGUCAUACGUAGGGAGCAAGCGUUUUCCGGAAUUACUGGGUGUAAAGGGAGCGUAGGCGGGGAUGCAAGUUGGGUGUAAAAACUAUCGGCUCAACCGAUAGUCGCAAUCAAAACUGCAUCUCUUGAGUGAAGUAGAGGCAGGCGGAAUGCCUGGUGUAGCGGUGAAAUGCGUAGAUAUUAGGAGGAACACCAGUGGCGAAGGCGGCCUGCUGGGGUGUGACUGACGCUGAGGCUCGAAAGUGUGGGGAGCAAACAGGAUUAGAUACCCCGGUAGUC
rnacentral:rRNA from 1 species